rnacentral:rRNA from 1 species
AUUGAACGCUGGCGGCAGGCUUAACACAUGCAAGUCGAGCGAGCGGCGGACGGGUGAGUAAUGUCUGGGAAACUGCCUGAUGGAGGGGGAUAACUACUGGAAACGGUAGCUAAUACCGCAUACCAUCAGAUGUGCCCAGAUGGGAUUAGCUAGUAGGUGGGGUAAUGGCUCACGUAGGCGACGAUCCCUAGGUGGUCUGAGAGGAUGACCAGCCACAUAGGAACGUAUAGACGGUUCAGACUCCUACGGCAGGCAGCAGUGGGGAUAAUUGCACAAUGGGCGCAAGCCUGACGCAGCCAAGCCACGUGAUUGAAGAAGGGCUUCGGGUUGUAAAGUACUUUCAGCGUGGAGGCGUUACCCGCAGAAGAAGCACCGGCUAACUCCGUGCCAGCAGCCGCGGUAAUUC